ACUCCUACGGGAGGCAGCAGUGGGAAUAUUGGACAAUGGGGGCAACCCUGAUCCAGCAAUGCCGCGUGUGUGAAGAAGGCCUGAGGGUUGUAAAGCACUUUAGUUGGGGAGGAAAAGCUACGGGUUAAUACCCCGUGGUGUAGACGUUACCCAAGAACAUAAGCACCGGCUAACUCUGUGCCAGCAGCCGCGGUAAUACAGAGGGUGCGAGCGUUAAUCGGAAUUACUGGGCGUAAAGAGCGCGUAGGUUGAUAUUUAAGUUAGAUGUGAAAUACCCGGGCUUAACCUGGGAGUGUCAUCUAAAACUGGAUGUCUAGAGUACAGUAGAGGAAAGUGGAAUUUCCGGUGUAGCGGUGAAAAUGCGUAGAUAUCGGAAGGAACAUCAGUGGCGAAGGCGACUUUCUGGACUGAUACUGACACUGAGGCGCGAAAAGCGUGGGGUAGCGAACAGGAUUAGAUACCCUGUAGGCUCUG
rnacentral:rRNA from 1 species